AGUUGGAAACGACUGCUAAUACCGCAUAAGCCCACGGGUCGGCAUCGACCAGAGGGAAAAGGAGCAAUCCGCUUUGAGAUGGCCUCGCGUCCGAUUAGCUAGUUGGUGAGGUAAUGGCCCACCAAGGCGACGAUCGGUAGCCGGACUGAGAGGUUGAACGGCCACAUUGGGACUGAGACACGGCCCAGACUCCUACGGGAGGCAGCAGUGGGGAAUAUUGCACAAUGGGGGAAACCCUGAUGCAGCGACGCCGCGUGGAGGAAGAAGGUCUUCGGAUUGUAAACUCCUGUUGUUGGGGAAGAUAAUGACGGUACCCAACAAGGAAGUGACGGCU
rnacentral:rRNA from 1 species